rnacentral:rRNA from 1 species
GAAGCGGCAACAGCUCAAAUUUGAAAUCUGGCGCAAGCCCGAGUUGUAAUUUGCAGAGGAUGCUUCUGGGCAGCGGCCGUUCUAAGUUCCUUGGAACAGGACGUCAUAGAGGGUGAGAAUCCCGUAUGUGACCGGCGCGCACCCUCCACGUAGCUCCUUCGACGAGUCGAGUUGUUUGGGAAUGCAGCUCUAAAUGGGAGGUAAAUUUCUUCUAAAGCUAAAUACCGGCCAGAGACCGAUAGCGCACAAGUAGAGUGAUCGAAAGAUGAAAAGCACUUUGGAAAGAGAGUUAAAAAGCACGUGAAAUUGUUGAAAGGGAAGCGCUUGCAACCAGACUCCGCGGCGGUGUUCCGCCGGUCUUCUGACCGGUCUACUCGCCGCCGCGGGGCCAACAUCGUCUGGGGCCGCCGGAUAAGACCGUGAGAAUGUGGCUCCCUCGGGAGUGUUAUAGCUCGCGGUGAUGCGGCGCGCCUCGGGCGAGGUCCGCGCUUCGGCAAGGAUGUUGGCGUAAUGGUUGCCAGCGGCCCGUCUUGAAACACGGACCAAGGAGUCUAACAUCUAUGCGAGUGUUCGGGUGUCAAACCCCUACGCGUAAUGAAAGUGAACGGAGGUGGGAGCUUCGGCGCACCAUCGACCGAUCCUGAUGUCCUCGGAUGGAUUUGAGUAAGAGCAUAGCUGUUGGGACCCGAAAGAUGGUGAACUAUGCCUGAAUAGGGUGAAGCCAGAGGAAACUCUGGUGGA